rnacentral:rRNA from 1 species
GCCAAUACUAGCCCUAAGCACAACCAACACUAAUACCAAACCAACACACAUAUUAAACCAUUUACCUACACAAAGUAUAGGCGAUAGAAAUUUUAACCUGGCGCUAUAGACAUAGUACCGUAAGGGAAAGAUAGAAAACCACCCAAGCACAAAACAGCAAGGACUAACUCCUGUACCUUUCGCAUAAUGAAUUAGCUAGAAACAAUUUCGCAAAGAGGACUACAAGCCAAAUUCCCCGAAACCAGACGAGCUACCCAAAAACAGCUAAAAGAGCGCACCCAUCUAUGUGGCAAAAUAGUGGGAAGAUUUCUGGGUAGAGGUGACAAGCCUACCGAGCCUGGUGAUAGCUGGUUAUCCAAGACAGAAUCUUAGUUCAACCUUAAGCUUACCUACAGAACCACCUAAUCCUCUUGUAAACUUAAUUGCUAGUCUAAAGAGGGACAGCUCUUUAGACACUAGGAAAAAACCUUAUAGAGAGAGUAAAACCCUCAAUCACCAUAGUUGGCUUAAAAGCAGCCAUCAAUUAAGAAAGCGUUCAAGCUCAACACCAAUCACCCCAAAAAUACCAAACACACAACUGAACUCCUCACACCACAUUGGAUUAAUCUAUCACUAUAUAGAAGCAACAAUGCUAGUAUAAGUAACAUGAACAUUUUCUCCACUGCAUAAGCCUAAAUCGGACCGAAAACCUCACCGAUACCUAACAGCCAGGCAUAGCAAGCACAAACAAGCCCAUGCUACCUCCACUGUUAACCCAACACAGGCAUGCUUCAAGGAAAGGUUAAAAAAAGUAAAAGGAACUCGGCAAACUCAAACCCCGCCUGUUUACCAAAAACAUCACCUCUAGCAUCACUAGUAUUAGAGGCACUGCCUGCCCAGUGACACACGUUUAACGGCCGCGGUACCCUGAC